CCUGCGGGGAGUGGCUUUCAAGUUUCCUCGCCGCUUUGCCGCACUUCCUCUUCCAGGCUCUCAGUUGAAGUAGUGUUUUGGUGGCUUAAGAGCCGUGGGUGUCGUUAGAGCGGCUGGGACGAAGCCGGGCGGGCUCCCUGCGGUGGCAGGUGAGGUGUGAAGGGCUGGGCUGUGCACAGGAAUUUGUGGAGCAUAAGAGGAGAGAGCACGGAAUGACAGCAUGCCCCGAGUCGGAAGGGAACCGUGCGGAUCGUGGAUUCCAACUCCCGGCUCUGCACGAGACCCUCCAGAAGUGAGGCCGUGUAUCUGAGUGCCGCAGAUGAUUAUUAACUCGGUCAGCUCAGUGCCACGAGCACAAGAGAGCCUGUUCCACACCCACCGCCCUCUGCUUCAGAGCCUUUUCCUAAUAGCCAGCCUGAACGUCUUCUGCCCAAAGCACACUUUUGUCAUCGUUUUCUAACUCAUCCUGGUGGGUGCUGGGGCACUGCUGAGGGCUGUGACCGACCGUCACAAGGAUGCAGACAUCUCUGGAAAGCCGGGUCCCACCUGCUUGGUGUCCAGCUUCUUCCCUGAAGGUUUCACAUCAUACUCACAAGGCUAUGAAUUCCAUCAGAUGUUUUUAGUGAUGCUUCUCACUUCCUGCAUGAACUACUCUUCUGCCUGACUGAUUUCCUCAGAGAGAAGACAGGCACUGGCGCUGAAGGAGGUGGCAGCGCAGGGCGAGGAGCGGCACAGCAGCGGGGAAGGAUGUGGCCGAGGAGCAGAGCUGAGCAGCGGGCAGGAGGAGA